UACGCAGGCGGCUUGGUAAGACAGAUGUGAAAUCCCCGGGCUUAACCUGGGAACUGCAUUUGUGACUGCCAGGCUCGAGUCUGUCAGAGGGGGGUGGAAUUCCACGUGUAGCAGUGAAAUGCGUAGAGAUGUGGAGGAACACCGAUGGCGAAGGCAGCCCCCUGGGAUGAGACUGACGCUCAUGUACGAAAGCGUGGGGAGCAAACAGGAUUAGAUACCCUGGUAGUCCACGCCCUAAACGAUGUCGACUAGUUGUCGGGAAUUUAUUUUCUCGGUAACGCAGCUAACGCGUGAAGUCGACCGCCUGGGGAUACGGUCGCAAGAUUAAA
rnacentral:rRNA from 1 species